UUAAAAUUUUUGUUUUACUUUUGCUCAAACUAGUUUCGGAUCUGAAAUAUUCAUAUAGAUAUAUGAUAUUACGCAGAUUCCACGAGACGAGCCUCUGGAAACGAACAAGAAGAGAUAUAGCAAAAAAUUGUUAAAUCUAUAGCAAAUAUUUAUGUAUAUAUGUGUCUAGUAUCGUUUAUAACAUAUUACAGUUUUACAAUCUGAAGUGAUCGACUAGAAUAUACCCUCUAUGAAUUAUUUCCAUGCGGAAACUGACAGUAUAUAUGUAUAUAUACAUAAACUGUUGUUUAUAACUCAAUCAAUUGGUUAGCUAUCGAAGAGCAUUAUUUGAGUAUACAAUCAUAACAUCCUCUUUUAGUCUCGCCAAUUUUCUAAUUAAGAAGCUAUUACACACAAUUUCCACUCCUUUUGGAGACAUAUAAAUAGAAAUAAAAAUCCCCGAUCAAGUUGCCUGUCAUAAUCUUACAAAUAUUUUGUCAGAUAUCAGGCACGUGUGAGCAGUUCUGCAAUAGUUGAUAAAUAAUUAAUUAAUAAUGAAGCAGAAAUAGCAACAGAAAAAAAACUUCUCACUAUAACUACAGUAGUUCCUAUUGUUAAAGAGUAUAUUUUCGGUAUCUAUAUGGACGUAUUAGUAUUUCUGUUUCGUCACAUUUGAACUCAUUUGAGAGACGUUCCAACUUAACGACAUGAGAACGCCCCACGGACUGGGCAGGGGCUUGGCAAAAGCAUUGAAAAGCAUUUUCAAUAUUUUCCGUUGUCAACCAUAUAUAUAGAGAUAUACACUUAUACAAACUUUGUCCUAGUCGCGUAAUUGUUGGCUCGGUACAGCUCCGUCAAAGUUUCGGAGAGACCAAUUAAGAUAAGCAUAAUGCUGAAAUUCAAAACCAAAAAAGCCUUAACAGUCGAGCCAAAACAAUGAAUGUGCUGAGACUUACCUGAAAAUGCCAAAGGACAAAAACAAAACAAAACAAAAAAUAAAGAAAAAAAAAACAUGCCAAAGAAUAUUUUGCAUCAAAUGGAAGAGCUUUUCAUACAUUCAAUAAAAUAUAUUAAGAAAAAACCCCCUAUAGUUAUACCUAAAAAAUCAAAUAAAGAAAAAGAAAAAGACAAAACCCAAGAAAAAGUGGUUGAACUCUAUUAGGAGCCAAAAAGCUUUGUCCCUGAACCAAGCAGCAACUGCUCUGCCAGCUAUUCAUUUGUGCGUCUUUCUACCUGGCUGCCAAAUCCAAUCAGAACAACAUACCCAACUUAGAUGUCGUCCUUGCCAUCCUUGCCUUCUUAUCAAAGUACAGUAGAGUAGCAACAACUCAAGAUAUUUGUUUCGCAACUCAGUGAAUUAAUUUUGUUGAGUGUUUAUGGAGAUGAAUGGAAGGCACAUAUCAAAGUAUCUAAUAUAUAAGACGAUUCCUACACGAUGUCAUAAGAUAUAUCUAGGCUCUCAUACUGAAUCCAUUGAAGAUGCGUGAUUAAAUGAUUUUAUGUUACAGACAAAAAAAGGGAGUGGCCCAUUCCGCAGUCCGUCCAUAUGUCUAUCAAUUGUUAUACUAUGUAUUACAUUGCUCGGUUGAAAUGAAUACAUCCCAUUAAAAAUAUAAUCAGCCAUUAGCUAGACUUCAGAGCCAAAGAUUAUAAAUAAAAGCGUUUUUGUGUAAAUACAAA